rnacentral:rRNA from 1 species
UACGGAGGGUGCAAGCGUUAUCCGGAUUCACUGGGUUUAAAGGGUGCGUAGGUGGCUUUGUAAGUCAGUGGUGAAAGCCCGGAGCUCAACUCCGGAACUGCCAUUGAUACUGCUUAGCUUGAAUCACGUCGAGGUGGAUGGAAUAAUACAUGUAGCGGUGAAAUGCUUAGAUAUGUAUUAGAACACCGAUUGCGAAGGCAGUUCACUAGGCGUGUAUUAACACUGAGGCACGAAGGCGUGGGGAUCAAACAGG